UACGACUACAUAUCAGGCAUAUCAAUAAGCGGAGGAAAAGAAACUAACUAGGAUUCCCUCAGUAACGGCGAGUGAAGCGGGAAGAGCUCAAAUUUGAAAUCUUCAAGGUGUUACCUUGACGAAUUGUAGUUUAAAGAAGUGUUUUCUGUUGAAGUUUUCGGUAAAAGUUCUUUGGAAUAGGACAUCAUAGAGGGUGAGAAUCCCGUAUUUGACCAGUUAUUUUCAGCUGUGUGAUACACUUUCAAAGAGUCGGAUUGUUUGGGAAUGCAGUCCAAAAUGGGUGGUAAAUUUCAUCUAAAGCUAAAUAUUGGCGAGAGACCGAUAGCGAACAAGUACCGUGAGGGAAAGAUGAAAAGAACUUUGAAAAGAGAGUUAAACAGUACGUGAAAUUGUCAAAAGGGAAGCGUUCGACACCAGUGUUGUUUUCUCGAAAAUCAAUUAAAAAGAGUUGGAUUUUGUGUUGUAUUGACCCUUAACAGCUUGCUUCACUCUUUUCCAGCUUUUUUUAAUGCACUUUUCGUUUAACAAGGUCAACAUUCAGUUUCUUUUGUUGUAAAGGGGUCAUUGGAAGGUGGCUUUCUCUUCGGAGAAAGUGUUUAUAGCCUUUGAUCUCUGCAAUCGGAGAGACUGAGGUCUGCAGCGUAGAUCCUUCGGGGUUAGAUACAUUUGUGCUAAGCUACAGCUUUUCAUAGACAACUUGUUGACUAUGUUUAGUCUUGUGACUUACCCGCUUAUGCUAUUUUACCUACGCUUAGGAUGUUGAGCGCAUGUCUCUCUCU
rnacentral:rRNA from 1 species